rnacentral:rRNA from 1 species
UACGUAGGGGGGCAAGCGUUUGUCCGGAAUCAUUGGGCGUAAAGAGCGCGUAGGCGGCCCUGUAAGUCCGCUGUGAAAGUCAAAGGGCUCAACCCCUUGAAUGCCGGUGGAUACUGCAGGGCUAGAGUCCGGAAGAGGCGAGUGGAAUUCCUGGUGUAGCGGUGAAAUGCGCAGAUAUCAGGAGGAACACCGAUGGCGAAGGCAGCUCGCUGGGACGGUACUGACGCUGAGGCGCGAAAGCGUGGGGGAGCAAACAGG